rnacentral:rRNA from 1 species
UACAGAGGGGGCAAGCGUUGUUCGGAAUUACUGGGCGUAAAGGGCGCGUAGGCGGCCUUCUAAGUCGAACGUGAAAUCCCCGGGCUCAACCCGGGAACUGCGUCCGAUACUGGAAGGCCUGAAUCCGGGAGAGGGAUGUGGAAUUCCAGGUGUAGCGGUGAAAUGCGUAGAUAUCUGGAGGAACACCGGUGGCGAAGGCGACAUCCUGGACCGACACUGACGCUGAGGAGCGAAAGCCAGGGGAGCAAACGGG